rnacentral:rRNA from 1 species
AUGCACGCUGGCGGCGUGCCUAAUACAUGCAAGUCGAGCGAACAGACGAGGAGCUUGCUCCUCUGACGUUAGCGGCGGACGGGUGAGUAACACGUGGAUAACCUACCUAUAAGACUGGGAUAACUUCGGGAAACCGGAGCUAAUACCGGAUAAUAUAUUGAACCGCAUGGUUCAAUAGUGAAAGACGGUUUUGCUGUCACUUAUAGAUGGAUCCGCGCCGCAUUAGCUAGUUGGUAAGGUAACGGCUUACCAAGGCAACGAUGCGUAGCCGACCUGAGAGGGUGAUCGGCCACACUGGAACUGAGACACGGUCCAGACUCCUACGGGAGGCAGCAGCAGGGAAUCUUCCGCAAUGGGCGAAAGCUUGACGGAGCAACGCCGCGUGAGUGAUGAAGGUCUUCGGAUCGUAAAACUCUGUUAUUAGGGAAGAACAAAUGUGUAAGUAACUAUGCACGUCUUGACGGUACCUAAUCAGAAAGCCACGGCUAACUACGUG